GGGCAGCAGUGGGGAAUAUUGCGCAAUGGGCGAAAGCCUGACGCAGCAACGCCGUGUGAGGGAUGAAGGCUUUCGGGUCGUAAACCUCUGUCGGAAGGGAAGAACGGGCAUUGGUCUAAUAGGCCUUUGUUUUGACGGUACCUUUAGAGGAAGCACCGGCUAACUCCGUGCCAGCAGCCGCGGUAAUACGGAGGGUGCAAGCGUUAUUCGGAAUUACUGGGCGUAAAGCGCACGUAGGCGGCCUUGUAAGUCAGGGGUGAAAUCCCACGGCUCAACCGUGGAACUGCCUUUGAAACUGCAGGGCUUGAAUCCUGGAGAGGGUGGCGGAAUUCCUGGUGUAGGAGUGAAAUCCGUAGAUAUCAGGAGGAACACCGGUGGCGAAGGCGGCCACCUGGACAGGCAUUGACGCUGAGGUGCGAAAGUGUGGGGAGCAAACAGGAUUAGAUACCCUGGUAGUC
rnacentral:rRNA from 1 species